UCCAGACUCUCCCACCGAACAGGAUACGUUUAAAUAAGGAGUUAAAAAGAAUUCAUAGCUAUCUGGUGAAACAGUCGUUCAAAUUAAUUCCGCAAAGAUCCGUAAGCUUGACGGUGGCGCUCCGAGCGUCGUCAGUUAUGGCCGCCGGUCUGUUUUGUUGAUGACAACUUAUCACCUUCGCCGAGUAACCUGUUAAGUGUUUAAUAUACCGAAGGGAGCCCUUGGUCGUGGUUAUAACUAAGUGAUUCCUUUCUCUUAAGGUUUAUGAACGUGCGUGAUAAAGAUGUGAAGUUAAUGAAGGCGUAUAAGUCACGUCGGACGUGAGGUUACGAAGAAGAACGCGAUGAUGCAGCUCGGGUAAUCACUGCUCGUUCCUGUACUUUAAGGAAGCAAUUAUCUAGGCUGGACCGUGCCAGCUGGCGGAUGUCUUGCGGUUUUCCACACGAUCGAGAAACACGAUCGAGCCGUCGAUGGAUCCUUGAUUUCUUGCGGUAACGGCUACUAGGAUUGACCGAAUGGUUAAUUGCUCGCGAGCGAUUUAAUUGAUCGGAUGGGUGUAUACGAGGUGCAGCUUAAACCGGUAGGAAAGUUCCUUCGUUCCCGUGGGGCCGGAAGGCCGAAGGACCGACAAAAAAUAUGGAUUAAAUUCUCCACGCUGCGGAGUCUUCACCAAAGAAGUAGACGCCGCUGGCUAAGCAACUCUUGACAAUAAGUCUGCCCACCCAACCAGCGAGUUUUAGACGGCGUCUCGAAUCAUCCCUUCAUUUGGCACGCACCCCCAUGGCUAUCGAGGAUUCCACGUCUUGCGUUCUGCGCCAUCUUGACUCGACUUUAUUUAUCUUUCACGGAACGAUCCUCUGGACUAUCUUUACCAAGUGGAGUGUAUAAAACUUUUUUUUUAUGGUAUAUAUUUUUUUUGAAAUUCGUGCACCUCAGUUAUCUGUAUCGUUCGAAUGUAUGGAUAUUAAUAAUAUACAGUGUAUAAUAUACAACGCGGUUGCGCAAUACUAGGCGAUAUGGAUUUAUUCCAGUCGUGUUACAUAAGUACCAGCUAGACGACAUUUUCUCUGGCUCUCAUUCACGAAGUGUCUUAUGCAAGUGCGCGACGCUAUUCUACUUGCUUGCAUCUCAUAUGGUAAUGGUCGUGAAAGAAAAGGCCCAUCCCGGUCCUACUGUCGAUACCGUAAAUAAUAGCUUCCGGGUGGACAGAUUCGAUUUUGUGAAUUUGAGGUAAUUAUUUGGGGCACCAUGGGAGGAAUGGACGAUACAAAUUGCAUUGAAUUUUUGACCAGUCAAUUUUUCUGUGCUUGCUCGUUUUACCUAUUCAAGCACAAAUUGGGCUUUC